UAAUACUAGGGGUGCGAGCGUUGUCCGGAAUCACUGGGCGUAAAGGGUCCGUAGGCGUCUCAAUAAGUCAUUUGUUAAAGACACCGGCUUAACCGGUGGCCUGCAUAUGAAACUGUUGAGAUAGAGUAUAGGAGAGGAAAGUGGAAUUCCUGGUGUAGCGGUGACAUGCGUAGAUAUCAGGAGGAACACCAAUGGCGAAGGCAGCUUUCUGGCCUAUUACUGACGCUGAGGGACGAAAGCGUGGGGAGCAAACAGGAUUAGAUACCCUGGUAGUCCACGCCGUAAACGAUGAGUACUUGGUGUCGGGGGAUUCGACCCCUUCGGUACCGGAGCUAACGCAUUAAGUACUCCGCCUGGGAACUACGACCGCAAGGUUG
rnacentral:rRNA from 1 species